rnacentral:tRNA from 2 species
CAGAGCGUAGCUAAGAAAGCCUAAGCACCUCACUUACACUGAGCCGAUACCCGUGCAAGUCGGGUCGCACUGA